GACGAACGCUGGCGGCGUGCUUAACACAUGCAAGUCGAACGCUGAAGCUCAGCUUGCUGGGUGGGUGAGUGGCGAACGGGUGAGUAACACGUGAGUAACCUGCCCUCUUCUUUGGGAUAACGCCCGUAAACGGGUGCUAAUACUGGAUAUUCACGGUUUCACGCCUGGGGGGUGGUGGGAAGGUUUUUUCUGGUGGGGAAUGGGCUCGCGGCCUAUCAGCUUGUUGGUGGGGUGAUGGCGUACGAAGGGUUUGACGGGUAGCCGGCCUGAGAGGGUGACCGGUCACGUUGGGACUGCGAUACGGCCCAGACUCCUGCGGGAGGCAGCAGUGGGGAAUAUUGCACAAGGGGCGAAUGCCGGAUGCUGCGACGCCGCGUGAGGGAUCGAGGCCUUCGGGUUGUAAACCUCUUUCGCUCAUGGUCAAGCCGCAGCUUGGGGUUGUAGUGAGGGUUGUGGGUAAAGAAGCGCCGGCUAACUACGUG
rnacentral:rRNA from 1 species